rnacentral:rRNA from 1 species
UACGGAGGGUGCGAGCGUUGUCCGGAAUCACUGGGCGUAAAGGGCGCGUAGGCGGCUCGGUAAGCGUGUGGUGAAAGCCUGGGGCUCAACUCCGGGCUUGCGGGCGAUACGGGCAGGCUAGAGUUCGGUAGGGGAGACUGGAAUUCCUGGUGUAGCGGUGAAAUGCGCAGAUAUCAGGAGGAACACCGGUGGCGAAGGCGGGUCUCUGGGCCGAUACUGACGCUGAGGAGCGAAAGCGUGGGGAGCGAACAGG